rnacentral:rRNA from 1 species
AUCAUGGCUCAGGAUGAACGCUAGCGGCGGGCUUAACACAUGCAAGUCGAGGGGCAUCGGGAGUAGCAAUACUGCCGGCGACCGGCGCAAGGGUGCGUAACGCGUGAGCAACAUGCCCGUAUCAGGGGGGAUAAUCCAUGGAAACGUGGUCUAAUACCCCAUAGUAAUUAUGUAAGGCAUCUUAUAUAAUUUAAAGCUUUGGUGGAUACGGAUUGGCUCGCGUGACAUUAGCUGGAUGGUAAGGUAACGGCUUACCAUGGCUACGAUGUCUAGGGGUUCUGAGAGGAAGGUCCCCCCACACUGGAACUGAGACACGGUCCAGACUCCUACGGGAGGCAGCAGUGAGGAAUAUUGGACAAUGGAUGGAAAUCUGAUCCAGCCAUGCCGCGUGCAAGGAAGACGGCCCUAUGGGUUGUAAACUGCUUUUGUAUGGGAGCAAUAAGGGCUACGUGUAGUCCGAUGAGAGUACCAUACGAAUAAGCACCGGCUAACUCCGUGCCAGCCGCUGC